rnacentral:rRNA from 1 species
GACGAACGCUGGCGGCGUGCUUAACACAUGCCAGUCGAACGGAAAGGCCCUGCUUGCAGGGUACUCGAGUGGCGAACGGGUGAGUAACACGUGGGUGAUCUGCCCUGCACUUCGGGAUAAGCCUGGGAAACUGGGUCUAAUACCGGAUAGGAGCCAUUUUUAGUGUGAUGGUUGGAAAGUUUUUUCGGUGUAGGAUGAGCUCGCGGCCUAUCAGCUUGUUGGUGGGGUAAUGGCCUACCAAGGCGGCGACGGGUAGCCGGCCUGGGAGGGUGGACGGCCACAUUGGGACUGAGAUACGGCCCAGACUCCUACGGGGGGCAGCAGUGGGGGAUAUUGCACCAUGGGCGCGAGCCUGAUGCAACGACGCCGGGUGGGGGAUGACGGCCUUCGGGUUGUAAACUCCUUUCGCUAGGGACGGAGCUGUUUGUGACGGUACCUAGAUAAGAAGCACCGGCUAACUACGUG